UCUCCAGAAUCUCUGCAUAAGACU
rnacentral:piRNA from 1 species